rnacentral:rRNA from 1 species
AUGACUACCGUUCCAGGGUCUCCGGUCUGGGAGCUCGUGAAGAAGAACAACUACUUCUUGAUCAAGCAGUUCGGUAACAACAACACCAAGGUGCAGUCGUCCAACAACAACUUGGUUCUGAUUAUCUUCUUAGUGAUGUUGUCUUGUUCUGCUUCUGAAGUAGUACUCUAUUUAAGAUCACUUAAGAUAUUAUAUAAACAUCAUAUCUCCCGGGUCGUCUCCAACGCCGUUGACAUGAAGCUCAGGGAUGACCUUGAGAGGCUCAAGAAGAUCAGAUGCUUGCACUUCAUAUCAGGACUAGCAGUUUGUAUCUUGCCUGCAUGUGAGCUCUAUGGAUGUUUAUUUACCUGUAACUUCUGCCAGCUCUAUGGAUGGUUAUAUAACAGUUCAACUCAGUCAAAUCUUUGGGGUGUUGAUACACUACUGUGCAAGUUCUAUGGUAUGGAGCUCCGCAUCCGAGUCUCGUCCAUCCUCGGCAGCAAGGAGCUGGGCCAAGGGAGCAAGCAGCGCUGCUGGUUACUUGGGGCCAGAUCGAGUAAGAUGACGCACCAUGGCAUGUGGCGGCGUAUUUUGCUUCCAAGAGCAGUAAUGUUUAUUUGA